rnacentral:rRNA from 1 species
UUUCGAAUCAUUCACAAUGGGCGAAAGCCUGAUGGUGCGACGCCGCGUGAGGGAUGAAGGCCUUCGGGUUGUAAACCUCUGUCACCGGGGAAGAAACGCUUCAAGUUAAUAGCUUGAAGCCUGACUUAACCCGGAGAGGAAGCAGUGGCUAACUCUGUGCCAGCAGCCGCGGUAAUACAGAGACUGCAAGCGUUAUUCGGAUUCACUGGGCGUAAAGGGUGCGCAGGCGGCCAUGUGUGUGAGGCGUGAAAGCCCGAUGCUUAACAUCGGAAUUGCACCUCAAACUACAUGGCUAGAGCAUUGGAGAGGGUAGCGGAAUUCACGGUGUAGCAGUGAAAUGCGUAGAUAUCGUGAGGAACACCAGAGGCGAAGGCGGCUACCUGGACAAUUGCUGACGCUCAGGCACGAAAGCGUGGGGAGCAAAAGG